rnacentral:rRNA from 1 species
ACGCUCGACACCUACUGGAGGCAGCAGUGGGGAAUAUUGCACAAUGGGGGAAACCCUGAUGCAGCAACGCCGCGUGAAGGAAGACGGUUUUCGGAUUGUAAACUUCUGUUCUUAGUGAAGAUAGUGACGGUAGCUAAGGAGCAAGCCACGGCUAACUACGUGCCAACAGCGCGGUAAUCUGAGCGGGCUGGCAAGGC